AUACGAAGGGGGCUAGCGUUGCUCGGAAUCACUGGGCGUAAAGCGCACGUAGGCGGCUUCUUAAGUCAGGGGUGAAAUCCUGGAGCUCAACUCCAGAACUGCCCUUGAUACUGAGGAGCUUGAGUCCGGGAGAGGUGAGUGGAACUGCGAGUGUAGAGGUGAAAUUCGUAGAUAUUCGCAAGAACACCAGUGGCGAAGGCGGCUCACUGGCCCGAGACUGACGCUGAGGUGCGAAAGCGUGGGGAGCAAACAG
rnacentral:rRNA from 1 species